rnacentral:rRNA from 1 species
UGGGGAAUAUUGCACAAUGGGCGCAAGCCUGAUGCAGCCAUGCCGCGUGUGUGAAGAAGGCCUUCGGGUUGUAAAGCACUUUCAGCGAGGAGGAAGGUGGCGAACUUAAUACGUUCAUCAAUUGACGUUACUCGCAGAAGAAGCACCGGCUAACUCCGUGCCAGCAGCCGCGGUAAUACGGAGGGUGCAAGCGUUAAUCGGAAUUACUGGGCGUAAAGCGCACGCAGGCGGUUUGUUAAGUCAGAUGUGAAAUCCCCGGGCUCAACCUGGGAACUGCAUUUGAAACUGGCAAGCUAGAGUCUCGUAGAGGGGGGUAGAAUUCCAGGUGUAGCGGUGAAAUGCGUAGAGAUCUGGAGGAAUACCGGUGGCGAAGGCGGCCCCCCUGGACGAAGACUGACGCUCAGGUGCGAAAAGCGUGGGGCAGCAAACAGGAUUAGAUACCCUGGUAGUCCACGCUGUAAACGAUGUCGAUUUGGAGGUUGUGCCCUUGAGGCGUGGCUUCCGGAGCUAACGCGUUAAAUCGACCGCCUGGGGAGUACGGCCGCAAGGUUAAAACUCAAAGGAAUUGAC